rnacentral:snoRNA from 1 species
AACCCAUAAUGAGGGCACAAUCUCAAAAUCUCUUUGAAGUGCUCCCAAGCUUCAUAGAGCAAUUCUCAUUCCUUUUGAGAAAAACUUGUGAUUUGAUCUCUCAAUU